GACGAACGCUGGCGGCGUGCUUAACACAUGCAAGUCGAACGAAGUGGCGAACGGGUGAGUAACGCGUAAUCAACCUGCCCUUCAGAGGGGGACAACAGUUGGAAACGACUGCUAAUACCGCAUACUGAAGGAGGGGAUUGCGUCUGAUUGGGUAGUUGGGGGGGUAACGGCCCACCAAGGCGAUGAUCAGUAGCCGGUCUGAGGGGGUGAACGGCCAAAAUGGGAACGAAAACAGGCCCAGAAUCCUACGGGAGGCAGCCAGUGGGGAUUAUCCGCCAUGGACGAAAGUCUGGCGGAGGCAAGGCGCGGGAGUGAUAGCGGGCUUCGGGUUUUAAAGCUCUGUUAAUUGGGACGCGGUACCGGAAUAGAAAGCCACGGCUAACUACGUGCCAGCAGCCGCGGUAAUAC
rnacentral:rRNA from 1 species